rnacentral:rRNA from 1 species
CCCGACAGCCGGGUACAAACCCGCUACGCACUUGGGGUUUGUAAAUGGUCGGAUCGGGUUUACUUAGUGGUGCGGCUCGAUAUAUAUAUUCGAGGGUGAGUGUUUGGAAGAAGUCUUGGGAUCUUCGGCGUCGAAGGGUAAGGAGCGGCGGCGGCGGCGAGGCAUGGGCGAGCUUCGGCUGGGCUGGUACCGCCUGCAGCUGCAACUGUGCCUCCACCGGCGCCCGCGCGUCGGCUUCUUCUCCUGCAAGGCGUUCAAGUCGAUGGCACCGCACCUAGAGCUACGGGAGGAGCUGUACAGGUGACUGCUGGAACAGGUCUACAAGGGGCGAGCGCGGGCGUCUUCCAAGUUCUCCCCAGAGUUCUCCUUCGGGUACCGCGAGCAGUUCUUCGACGCGUUCCGCUUUUUCCUACGAGGACGACCACUCUUCGGACUCGGUCACUCCUGUGUAGAGGCGUUGUACUAGUAACAGGGACUCUACUAACCGUCGGAAUAGCCACAGAUGUUACCGUUCUGGAAGUUGGUCCAACUCUAAUUCGGACUCUACUAACCGGUAAUGGAACGUCUCAAGAGAUAGAGGAUGUUCGGUCACUUCGUGCCAUCCGGGCCAUAGCCACGGUGUGUGAGAAGGGCCAAGUAGGGAGAAUUUACUCAACACGGCGAAAGAUGAAACUUUCUUUAGUCAUGCCUGGUAGACUACCGUACAGGUAGCUCGACAGAGGGAACAAAACUUGGUCAAUAUAUAGAUCAUAAACCAAGACAAAUCGAUAUAUUAAAGCAAUACGUGUUACUCGACAAGAUAGAUUUACGACACUCUUAGAAUAAAGGCAACACUUCCAAGUAAAACUAAGUACGGCACGAACAGACAAACACUCUGAAAAUAAUAUUUUACGUGUGAGUAAACCGGACGGGUAGUGGUGAGUUUUACCGGUAGACUACCGUUGUUGUGC